ensembl:lncRNA
GUGCAGUGCUCACCCACCCUGGCGAUGCAGGCGGGGGAUUCCCAGCAAAUGGGCAGAAGACAGAGCUGGGUGGGUUGGCCAGGCAGAGGGCCUCACAGCACAGGGAGCCCAGCUUCCCAUGGCAGCGGGGCUGGAGAAGGGCAGCGUGGAGGGCCGGGCUACCGCUCCGCCCAGUGCUGCCAUAGCAGCGUUGUGGAGAAGCCCGCCGCCGCACGCGUACCCGGGCCCAGUCUGCUCCUUCCACAGGCGUUUUGACUCGGGUGCUGCAGCAGCACGUCGGCUCCAGCCCUGCUCCCGCCGGGUCCCAGAUAGAUGAGCAGCGACAGGUAAAAGGCUCCGUGUGGUGCAGGCUGGCAGCGGUUGGAGUCACGUAAUUAGAAGACGCCGACUGGGCGCUGCGCAGCGACCUGCUGUUGCUGUGGAAGAAUGGCUGUGAAGAGAAAGGAGGCGGUCCUUCAGAGCCCUGCUGCGAGCUUCUCGUGGUAGAAAAGCAUUCCUGAAGGCAGGUGGGAAGCAUAGGAGAGCUGCAGCAGGGCGAAUACCCCCAAGAUCAGUGCCAGGGGUGCAGUUUGCACUGCAGUGCUGUUACCUGCUGCUCUGCUCUGCGCUUCGGGUGCUUUCAAGGAACAAAACGCAUGGGUGUUUUGCAGGACAACUGCUCAGAGAACUUCCAGAAAGGGAGCUGGUCCUGGUGGUCUGAGUCUCACCGGCUAUUUCUGACCAGUUUGCAUGUUCAGAGAUUGCUGCAAAGCUGGAAAAAGUUGGGAGGUACCAGGAAAAAUUGCAAGGCUGAAAAGCCUAUUUCACAUCGAUGCACAGAGUAAUGUUUCCCUAUUUAAACCCUGUGAGUGCCCUAAUGAUUCUCUAUAGCUGUAUAGGGGAGAGGAAGUUUUCAAGAGCAGAUUACUGUGCAAAGCCAUAGAAAAAGCCAAAAGAGGUCGUGAGCAUCUUGAGAUUUUGCAUGGAGUUUGGUGUUCACUAGAGAAGGAGGGAAGGAGGUUAAGAACUCCAUAAGUCACUGUAAGAACUGGAGAACAUGGGGUCGGACUGUGAAUAUAUAAGAAGAGAAAGGUGAUGAGUUUAAGCUGGGAGUUAUUUCUGCUGCUGCUUGUUGCACUGAAUUCCUUUGUGUUGGCAAAAUUCUGCAAUGAGACUUUGCACUUUUUGGCAACUAGCUACACAUCCAGCUUGGGAGAUCCUAGUUUAGGUCUGCACAGGUGUGACUGUGUGACCUGAGCCUUGUGUAUGGCACAGCGAGUUGGCAUGGAGACGCUCUGGGUGUAUCAGAGAAGAGCCAUAUCCUGGCUGCUGCUGGGCAUCCAUGUUAGCAAAGCACUUUGAACAGUGCUGGCAUUGCUUCCUGAGUCCAUCAGUUGAACUCACUGUUGCAAAUUACAAUCAUCAUAAAUGAGUUGAACUCAUUAACGUGCUGUGGAAUGCUCCGAGGGUGUCCUAGCACUGCUGAUACCUGGAAUAAUUGCAUUUCUUAAUUCUGCAAAUGUGCUCUGAUAAAUUAGGUGGGGGGUCACAUGCUGAAAACAGAUGUGCCUGUCAUACAGGUAAGCACACAGUGAUGUCUAUGUUUACAACUACCUGAUGACUUACUG